rnacentral:lncRNA from 1 species
GUUUGGCUGGGGGAGUUGAUGAAGGACAUCAAGAUUCGCAACUGCAAAUUGUGAAGCCACAACUGAGAUUCUAGAUGGCUAUUCCUCCUCUGCAGUCCCUCGUUUCUGCCAGGACAUGUAGCCUCUGCAGGCCCAGUGUUGGUGAUGGAGCCCACAAUGUUUUGUGUGACUGUCCCCUCCACUGCUGGACAGCUCCCAGCAGCUAGGAGUCUGUGAGCUCUCAUCCUGUGCUGCACUCUGUGCUAGCCACUUUGCAUGAGUUCUCUAACUCCACCAGGUAGUCUCAUAUCAUAUUCAUGAUUCGCAUAUUUCGAUAAAGAAACUGUGGCUUAGGGAGGUCGACUCACUUGUCUAAGAUUACAAUAGCUUAAAUGUGGCAAAGCCAGGGUUCAAACCCUGGGCUCCUAGUUAGAACAGGGUUGUAAACUACAGUCCCUACAGGGGCCAGGAGGCUCAGUGAAACCACACAAGUGUAAGAAAGGUGGAAGGAGAUGGUGCCUAUGAUGAACUGGGGUGUAAUUUCCUUAUUCAGAGGAGAUGGCUGCCACCCAGGUCCCAUUUAUUUAUUCCAUGAGAAAAUACAAACCUGAGUGAUCAGACCUUCAAAUUUUUCAAGAGAGGUUAUAAAUGUAGAUUUUUAAGUAUAAUCUCCCAAUUUGUAUUGGUUACUGAUGCAUUUUUUAAAAAUCAUGGUGCAGGCCAACACUGAGUGGGUCUCAUGACCACACUUAUGAGCAGGUUCAUGACUGUGCCCAUUGUAACUCUUCUCCAGAGCCCAGAGUCUCAACCACUGGGAUUUACUGUCUUGAAAUGAUCAGAUUGAGCUAUUUCUGGGGAAUCAGAAUUUUUCUUCCUGUUAUUUCUAUCUACUGGCCUCUGUUCUACCAUCUGGAACAAAAGGGAUUCCAAAACAUUAUUCUCCUGUCCUCUUCUCUAGACUAAACAUCCCCAAACCCUUCAAGCAUUCCCCGCUUGGUCAGUUUGCAGGACAUUUGCUAUGCUGGCCUCGCUACUCCAGGCAUGCUCAACACACUCCCACCUGCUCAUAUGACUCCCUAAAUCCACUGCUUGGAACUGAGCCCCACCCUCCACGUCUAGCCUGUGCCAUGCAGAGCAAGGCAGGCUCCCUGACCCACCAAGACUCUUCCAAGAAUAGAACCCCAAGUCACUUGGUUUCUUUGGCAGCUGAGGAUCUGCCUCAGCCUAGAAGCCUGGAUGUAGCCACCCGUGGGUCAGAAGCAAAGAGGGUAAGUCAAAGUUGGGAACCCAGGGUGCCAGAGGAGUAACCGACGGCUCAGCCCCAGCCUCCACUCUCGACAGCUGUGGGCUCCACCAUCUGCAGCAGAGUGGGGGCCUCUUUGGCUCCAGUCCCACCUCCCAACUUUCCUUAUGAAAUGGGGAAAUGCAAAUCUGGUAAGUUCCUGUGGAAACCGAGAAGAGUAAAGUGGCCUCUCUUCUGCUCUUGCUAUGCCUCAUGGCCCUUCCCCCUGGCCCCUGGGCCUGGGGCAGAACAGAGCAGCUGGGUUUUUCCCUCAGAGGUGACUCACAGAUGUAGUUUUUCUGGCACAGAUUCUCAGAAAAGUCCUAGCUGGGAAGGUUUUCUGUUGGCCAAAUGACCCAUCACAGCUGCCAGCCCGGCGGCGAGGGGUUCCAGCUGGUGCUGGGUGACAAAGAACAGGUCUGGGCUCUGUCCUUGGCUAUAGGUCCUGUCUGUCCCACUUGCCAGACUCAGGAUGUAAUUCAUCAUCAAUGUUACUGUGGAGCACCCAACCACUCGCCCAUCAAAACCACUUUAGUAAAAGCAGAUUUCUGAGAGGACAUCUCAACCAGCGCCGAAGAGCAGCAGCUUUUCACUGAGUGCCGCAGAGAGAGGUCCUGGAGCUGCCCGUGUGCCCACCAAGUGCUUAGACAUUCACAUUGACAGGGCCUGCAGGUACAGACACACCACCAAGGACACACUCUACAGCACACAGUGGCAACAGGCUCAUGCACUAUCAGGCCUAGGCAAGAACACGACUUUCAACAUUGUUUUAGACAGCUGAAUCCUUGUUCCAAACAAAAUCUCACGCAAAACCUCAGCAGGCAGACAGGUCCAAGGGUAGCUGCUAAGGUGGAAAGCAAGGUGGAGGCAGGAAUCUUCCCCACUCAGAAUCCCACAAUCCUCGCCCACCGGGGGUCCCUUAGCCUCUUCCACUGAGUCACUGGGGCUCCACCUGAUGUGGUUGAAAACCCACUGCUCUGUUCAACCUUUCAUUGCCCAGAGGAGGAAACUGAGGCCCAUAGAAC